rnacentral:lncRNA from 10 species
CUCCGGACUCCAGAACUUUCCAAGCGGGGGAAACUUGGCGGCGGAUUGCUGUCACGUCUAAUGUGGCUGCUGCCUCGUGUCACAUCUGAAACUCAUCUGUACCUCACUUAGAAAUCGACAGAAACCUAAUGGGACCAUUGAAGAAUUCCAAACAGGCAGUAUUUGCAUAGGAAUCAGAGGAGUUAAUCUGUCUCUUCUCACAGGUUUGAAUCUUCAGACAAACUUCUGGGAGGACUCGGUCCCUGCCUCGCAGCAGAUGUUCCCUGUCACUCAGUAGCAUAUGGCUACCCAUUCUCCCCAGAAAUCUCACCAGUG